UUAAUGUGUAAUUUCCUGUUUCAUAAGUUUGAAUAUUGUAAUUUACGGUAUAUCAUGUGCAUGUGUUACACCUUUUAGUCUUGAAAAACUUCAUUGCAACUUCAAAUACUGUCCUACCUUUUCUAUAUUGAUAUAGUCUUCCACGUUGUUGUUUUUUAAGAGUGCAUGUUUUUAGUUUUCGAUAAUGAACAGAAAGAUGUUGCUCUCCAGUUCUACUCUCAGACGAAGGGCCCGUGCAAAUGUAGACAGACUGCUCAGAAGAGUGACUGAAGAAAAUGAAAUGCAGAUGAUUACCUGAAGGCAAGACAGAAGUUAAGACUCCUUAACUUGCUCAACAUCAGAUUUGGAGUCAGAAAAGGAAGACGAUGUGACAAAGCCAAAGAGACAAAGGACGGCCAGAAUUCGGUUUGGCGACACUGAUAGUGACAUCGAUGAUAGUGCGUCAAAAAGGGUUCAAGAAAGACAAUAAAAAGCUCCCUGCCAGCUGCAGCAGCAGUACCUCGCCCACCUUCAACUUCACCUGCUACACAAAGACCACAAGUAAGUGCAUCACCUAGCCAGCCUCCAGAUGAGUGUGUUGAAGACUUCAUUCAGUCACCUUCAAUGAUGGCACAGACACCAAGGAGAGUCACUGCUGUACCCACUAGACUGGAUUUCACUCGACCAUCAAGAAGUGAAAUGCUCACUUUCACUCCCACCGGUAGAGUUGGGAGGACUGGAACUGCAUCUAUUCCUUGCACUGGUAAUCUCCUCAUCAUGAUGUUAUUUUAGACCUAGAAAUGCUUAUUUGUACCAGUGUUGUUUGAACUCUCUGGAUGCCAGAGUAAGAUGGCAGCCUUUUUUCUUCAGCAGAGUACGGAGUGCAUUCAGUGUGUGCUCAUCUGUUGAUAACUCUUCAGCAGAGUACGGAGUGCAUUCAGUGUGUGCCCGUCUGUUGAUAAC